AUACGGAGGGUGCAAGCGUUGUUCGGAAUCACUGGGCGUAAAGGGCGCGCAGGCGGUUCGGUAAGUCAGAUGUGAAAGCCCACGGCUCAACCGUGGAAGUGCAUUUGAAACUGUCAGACUUGAGUACCAGAGGGGAAAGUGGAAUUCCCGGUGUAGAGGUGAAAUUCGUAGAUAUCGGGAGGAAUACCGGUGGCGAAGGCGACUUUCUGGCUGGAUACUGACGCUGAGGCGCGAAAGCGUGGGGAGCAAACAGGAUUAGAAACCCUAGUAGUCC
rnacentral:rRNA from 1 species